rnacentral:tRNA from 1 species
UCAGAGAGCUCAGUGGUAGAGUACUUGCCUAAUAUGAGCAAGGUCCUGGGUUUGAUCCCUAGAACUGCA